rnacentral:rRNA from 1 species
AGUGAACGCUGGCGGUAGGCCUAACACAUGCAAGUCGAACGGCAGCACAGUAAGAGCUUGCUCUUACGGGUGGCGAGUGGCGGACGGGUGGGGAAUACAUCGGAAUCUACUUUUUCGUGGGGGAUAACGUAGGGAAACUUACGCUAAUACCGCAUACGACCUACGGGUGAAAGCAGGGGAUCUUCGGACCUUGCGCGAUUGAAUGAGCCGAUGUCGGAUUAGCUAGUUGGCGGGGUAAAGGCCCACCAAGGCGACGAUCCGUAGCUGGUCUGAGAGGAUGAUCAGCCACACUGGAACUGAGACACGGUCCAGACUCCUACGGGAGGCAGCAGUGGGGAAUAUUGGACAAUGGGCGCAAGACUGAUCCAGCCAUACCGCGUGGGUGAAGAAGGGCUUCGGGUUGUAAAGCCCUUUUGUUGGGAAAGAAAAGCAGCAGGUUAAUACCCCGCUGUUUUGACGGUACCCAAAGAAUAAGCACCGGCUAACUUCGUG